rnacentral:rRNA from 1 species
GACAGAGGACGCAAACGUUGCUCGGAAUUACUGGGCGUAAAGCGCAUGUAGGCGGUCCGGUAAGUCAGGUGUGAAAUCCCGGGGCUCAACCUCGGAAGGGCACAUGAUACUGCCGGGCUUGAGUACUGGAGAGGAGAGUGGAAUUCCCGGUGUAGAGGUGAAAUUCGUAGAUAUCGGGAGGAACACCAGUGGCGAAGGCGACUCUCUGGACAGAUACUGACGCUGAGAUGCGAAAGCGUGGGAAGCAAACAGG